rnacentral:lncRNA from 1 species
AAUCAUCUAGACAGUAAUCAAAUUACUACGAUCACUAUUUCACGAAGAAAUGUAACAGAAGACAUCACACAUUCAAAAUCCACUAUAUGAUUUGUUUCCAACAGGUAUGUAACAUCAACAUGUUUCAAGCUUUUUCAUACAACAUACACAAGUGCAAAUGUACUAUCUCACACCACACGACAGCCAACACAUAAAACUAGCAAUCACACUAAUUACAUCGACAUGUUUCAAGCAUUUUCAUACAACAUACACAAGUGCAAAUGUACUAUCUGUCUCUUGUUCAUCCACAACAUCAACUACCAAACCUUCUAAGAUUUCUUGUUGUAUCUCACCCUGAAAAACCAAGAGAAAAGGGUGACAAGGUCAAAAGAAGUACAUGACUAUAUUUUAUUUCAAUUUAAAGGUAGCGAUUUAAUCAUUCAACACUACAGAAGUUAGUGGCUUAUUAGUUCCAUGAGCUUCCCAAGAAGUUCUUGGAGUCGUACUGCUUUGUGGGUCGCUGCUUGCACCAUGGACAGUGGUAGUAAGAACAAGUCCAUUAUGGAACAAAAUGAAGAACAACAGUAGAAGCAUCUAAAGUGCAGCUUUCCAAAGCAUUGGCUUCAUACAUGCCAUUUUUUCAUGCACCAUAGCAGCAAACAUCCAUAAAAUGAUCACAAGCUACAUUAAUUAAUCAAAUGCUCAGACAAGCGAGUAUAUUGUCUAGUUGAUUCCCAUCACAUGAACACUACAACUACCUACAAGAAGUGACAGAGGAUAAACACAAUUUUCACCGAACAAUGAGGAACAAAAAUUGAACAAAAACUAGGUUAUGUAAAAAGUAUAUUUGCAACAAAGGCACAAGUAGGUUAUGUAAAUAAAAGAGUUUCAUCCAUUCAUAAAGAAACAGUGAUUGCAUCACCAGUCUCAUUAGUUUCACAGCACUAUGCUACUAGCAUGAAGAAACAUCGCAUCAUAGAGACUGUCUGCUGAAACACACACAGAUGUGCCAGUCCUGAAUCCUGAUGAAUAUGUACGUGGCAUGCAUGCCUACACUAUCAUGAAACCUCUAAGCUAUAAAUGAACUGAAACCCACCAAGAUGAAACUGCUACCCCAGCCAUUCAUAUCAUCAACAGUACUACAUGCGCCCAUAUGAAUGUAUUAAUCAGAGGAACAAUUCUAAAUAAUUAACCAGACAACAAGGGGAUACCUGCUUGCAUUUACCUGCAGCUCGGUGAUGCGUGCGUGCAUAGGUGACCAAGGCCGUGCAGGCAAGGAAGCAGUAGAGGAUGUGCAGCUACAACGAUUUAAUCGAGCUGGAGCGCCCGCCCAAAUGCGAUCUUGCUCGAACGAACCACCAGCCUUCGCCCAGACUCGUCCCCUGAUGGGCGCCCCAGAUCCCUGCUCUGCUUGGAAACAAGAACAAAACAAGUAACUCCAGUUUCUAACCAAAUCAGUACAUCCAGCCUACAAGUAUGGCGAAUUGAAACAAGUGGAAAGAAUCUCUGAAGAUUGCUACCCGUGACCACAGAGGAGCUCAAUACUAUCCUACUCGACACUCUAUUGAUCUACAGAGCGUGGAAAGCUCGGGUCCAUAGCACCCACCCCAUGAAACGCGCCGCGACGAGGCCGCGUGGGGAGCCAGCGAGACGCCCGCCGGCCGGCCGACAAGCAGGAGUUGGCGAAGUGGGCCCGCCUCAUGACGGCGGCCGCGGGGGCCAUUUGACCACGGUGGGAGCGAGGAGGGGAGGGUUCAGGUCUGUGUGCGUGGGGUUUCAGAGCUCGGAGCAGGAUGACGUCAGAUCGAGCGAAUGGCGAGCAGACGGCACCGGAGAUUGGUGGAACCGCCGAGGCCAAGGGGUUACGCAGAAAAUCACCUCAGGAGGGCUCAAGGCACCGUGGAUCCGCGUGGAUCAGCCGAAGACGCUGCAGAUCUGCCGCGUGGCCGCUGUGGAUCCGACUAAGAGCAGCUCGAGAAACAACCGCAAGGAGGAGGCGGGCUUGGUCUCGGAUCCGCCGGCAGCGCCAUGGGUUGGUGGAUCUGGGGCCAAGGGAAGGGAGAGAUNNN